CCGUGACCGUGACCAGCUGAUCACAGUUUGCGGACAGAAGGGAGUGGGAAGGUCAGCUGCAUCGGGAAGGAGGAGGGGUCAGGGGUUGAAAGAAACCUGGCUGGGAAUGCAUCUGGGGAAGGCUGAUGGCAGGGUCCCCCUCCCCCAGUGCACCUGUCCUGGUGACGUCAUCAUAGGCCACGGUCUGGGCUCGCGCAAGCUCCCAGGCGUAAUUUUAUCAAAACGCGUGGGAACUCACGGCAACUCGGUUCAGAGAGGCUGGCGUGGAUUGGGCAACACUUUGCUGAUCUCUGCCCAGAACCUUCUCCCGCUCUGGAAAGAGCCACACCUCUUCGCCCAGGGCAGUGCUUCCUUUUGGAGCCAGCUUCCGACCCACCACUCAAUACCUCCCCCCCCACCCCCGCACCUGCAGCUAACUCCGCCCCAGGCCCUGUUUGUGUGUGGCUGCCCCGCUGUGACCUAGGCCGGGUGGCUCCCCUGUGGUGCCCAGCAGGGGUCGAGGUACAGGAGCAAAGUCCCCCGGAGAGCAGGCCCCUGCUGAGAGGGGCAGACCGAGGUUGGAUUCCUGCUCCAGGCCCGGAGGCCUGCCCUUUCCAAGAGGAUUGUGACCUCCAUUCUGCAAGCAGACGCUCCCCCUUGCUGGCUUUGAUGAAGCAGUGGCAUUUUGGGGAGGCCGAUGUGGCAAGCCUAGGAACUGUGGCCUAGGAUGGCCUCUUGUGACUAGGGAUGGCCUCCAGCCGACAGCCAGGAAGAAACUGAGGCCCGGGGUUUUACGAAGAUCUAAAUUCUGCCAGCAGCCACAUGACCUUGGCAGUGACCCCUUCCCGGCUGAGCUUUGAAAUGAGACCCCUGCUGGGCAGACACCUGGACUGCAGCUUUGCGAGAUUCUGAAGUAAGCUCCAUUCCCAAAUGCCUUCGUCACAGAAUCUGUGGAAUAUAAAAUGCGUGUCGUCUCCAGUCACGAGUUUUGUGGCAAUCUGUCAUGCAGCCUGUAAUGGAAAACUAAUAUUAGGGACAUUUGGGCAGCAUCCAGGUCUGGGCUUUUAAAACCCGGGCUGCUAUGAACAUUCCGGGACAUGUCUUUUGGUGAACAUAUGUGAGCACUUCUGUUUGGCAUACCCCUAGGACGGAACUGCAGGGUCAUAUGGGACGCAUAUGUUCCGCCUGAGGAAAUUCUGCCAACGGUUUUCCCAACCCAGUUAUGUUUGCGUGGGUGAGGACGGGCUUCAAACCCAGGUACGCCCAGCUCGAAAGCUCCAUGUUUUCAACGGCCAUAUUUGCUUUCUAAGCUACUUGAGGGGCGAUCUCACGACAAGGAAAUAAACACCUCUUCCUGGUAAUUUUCGAUGAGCAAAGCUUCCGUGUGUAAAAUACUUGAAGGCAAUAAAACGCACUUGUAUAUCUCA